GACGAACGCUGGCGGCGUGCCUAAUACAUGCAAGUAGAACGCACAGUUUAUACCGUAGCUUGCUACACCAUAGACUGUGAGUUGCGAACGGGUGAGUAACGCGUAGGUAACCUGCCUGGUAGCGGGGGAUAACUAUUGGAAACGAUAGCUAAUACCGCAUAAUAUUGAUUAUUGCAUGAUAAUUGAUUGAAAGAUGCUAUUGCAUCACUACCAGAUGGACCUGCGUUGUAUUAGCUAGUAGGUGAGGUAACGGCUCACCUAGGCGACGAUACAUAGCCGACCUGGUAGGGUGAUCGGCCACACUGGGACUGAGACACGGCCCAGACUCCUACGGGAGGCAGCAGUAGGGAAUCUUCGGCAAUGGACGAAAGUCUGACCGAGCAACGCCGCGUGAGUGAAGAAGGUUUUCGGAUCGUAAAGCUCUGUUGUAAGAGAAGAACGGGUGUGAGAGUGGAAAGUUCACACUGUGACGGUAUCUUACCAGAAAGGGACGGCUAACUACGUG
rnacentral:rRNA from 1 species